GAUUAACGCUAGUAGAGCGCCUAACACAUGCAAGUCGAGCGACUGAUUUCCGCUUGCGGAAUGAUGGAGCGGCAAACGGGCGAGUAACGCGUAUCUAACCUACCCAUGAGAUGAGAACAACUAUGGAGACAUAGCUAAUUCUCAAUACGCCCUUUAAAGUGAAAUUCUUCUUAGGGGAAAACUCCGGUGCUCAUGGAGGGGGGUGCGUCCUAUCAGGUAGUUGGUGAGAUAAAAGCUCACCAAGCCUAUGACGGGUAGCCGGUCUGAGAGGAUGGACGGCCGCAAUGGGACUGAGACACGGCCCAUACUCCUACGGGAGGCAGCAGUGGGGAAUCUUGCGCAAUGGACGAAAGUCUGACGCAGCGACUCUACGUGAAGGAUGAAGCAUUAUGGUGUGUAAACUUCUUUUUUGGGAGAAGACGAAUGACGGUACCCCAAGAAUAAGGGACGGCUAACUACG
rnacentral:rRNA from 1 species